GCCGCCGUGGCGAAACUGGCAUACGCGCACGACUUAAGAUCGUGUCCCGUAAGGGAUGUGGGUUCAACUCCCACCGGCGGCA
rfam:Parcubacteria bacterium GW2011_GWC1_45_13 TW93_C0010, whole genome shotgun sequence.